UUGAAAAGGAAAAGUAUUCCAGUAUUUGACUUAGUGGUUAUCAUUUCUUUCUGAGCAGAGCCUCCACCCUCCUCCCCUUGUUCUGUCAGAACAGUAGCGUUCUUUGUAACUGAGUGCUGUUGUAUUCUAGAGGGAAAUAUCUACCCAGGAAUGCAGCUAUACGCAACAUGCCUGCCACAUAACGAAAGGCAUACUAACCCAGUAACAGCAUCAGCGUCUCACUCAUCGAAACACUGUUUCAAGUAACACUGAAUUAACGCAGCUUCAGCGUAGUACUGGUAGAGAGCCGUCUGCCUGUCUACUGGCCUCAGAAGAACCUAAGUCUGGCAUACUCCAUUUAUUUCCAUCAAAACUGCGCUUUUCAGUCCCCAGAGUCAGAUAAUAAUACUGGAAGCAGAAGUCAUUCAGAAGUUAAUUUUGGCAAAGUUUGCACGGCUGGAAAGUUUCUGAAGUUGCAGGUUUAAAGCUUAAAGGCUGCGCCAUCCAUGAAGGCCUCAAUGUGAAGACCUAAUGCUGAAGAGAAAUUCUGAUGAUGUUCCCUGCUCUGACUACUCUCAAGAGCAAUGUCCACAUAUACAGGAUAUCCACACAUACACACACAUCAGUCAAGCCAGCACCUCAACCUCGCACAGUUCAGCAGAAACAAUGAUGAUGUCACCAAGAUCUGCAUGGAGAUGCAAAAUAAUGUGCUGCUAACUGCAGAAUCAACAGCACGAAUGCUGAAACGCACCAUUAAUACCGCAAGGAAAUAUUUCAAUUGCUUACUAUGGAAAACUACCAUGAUGCAGUUACAAACCGCAAUACAACACAACCUUUUUUUGUGGAUCCACCCUUGAAGAUGAAGUAUCCAAUAUUGAUUUGAGUAGUAUUAUCAUGCAUUUGUGUGCCUAAAGAAUUAUUCUAUUAUUCGGGGUGAACUGCUAAUACUACCGCUAUUACAUGUGUUACUGCCGACAUUAAAGGGGUACUACAGCGCUAAGACAUCUUAUCCCCUAUCCAAAGGAUAGGGGAUAAGAUGUCUGAUCGCGGGGGUCCGGCCGCUGGGGACCCCUGUAAUCUUGCCCGGAGCACCCCGUUCGAAUCAGUCCCCGGAGCAUAUUCGCUCCGGGUCUGAUUACUUGCGAUCACGGGGACGGAGCAUUGUGACAUCAUGGCUCCACCCCCCGGGUGACCUCACUCUCAGCCCCCUCAAUGCAAGCCUAUGGGAGGGGGCGUGACAGCUGUACCCCUUUAACUUAUUGUUAGGUAAUAGAUGUAAAAAGUUGGUUAAUGGGAAACAAGCUAAAGCUCAAAAUUCUAAAAAGAAAUGUUCACAAGGUUCAUUCCUAUUCAUGAACUCUUGGAAUAAGUAGCGUGCACCUGCUAGUAUAUAAUUAGUCAUGUAAAUUCUUCAACCUCUUUUUUCUAUAAUACCUUGUUCACUUGUUCACCAUUCUUUUCAUGAUGUAACACUCAUGAUACUCUGAACCCUUUUGUUAAGAGCUGACGACGACAGAUAAGAUUGAUUGUAGGCGGAUUAUGUUAAAUACUGGGAGUUUGUCUUUUUUUCUUCAUCCUUGAUGUGGAUUUUAUCCAAACAGGAAGACAAGUUUCAUUAAACCAUUUUGAUUUAGGGGAAAGAAAUGUACGGGUGAUGAUUAACAGUGAUGACAGGAAAAUACACUGGAUUGACCCAAGCUGAGCCAAUAACCUAAUACGUGCCAUAUUUUCCUCAGGGCCUUUAUGGGCUUUUAAAACAAAUGGGUUAAAUGACUUAGCAGUUAUGCUCUCCGAAUCAGAGCCAAAUACCUGGAUUGGUCAUGCCACAGUAGCAAUGGAUAAAAACCUUGAUGCAAAUUUGGCAUAGCACACAGUCUGUUUUCACUAUAGAUUUGUAUCAGAGUAUCUCUCUACACUUCAUUGAGGUAUUAGGCAGCUGAAUAAUACAUUGAUGCUAAGAGGAACUUGUGGAAUGAGCGAGUGUGCACAUGUACAUACCUGGGAUUCUGAUGAACACAGUGCGAGUCUAUUUAAUGGUAUGUACCACUGAAUGCAAGCAAAGUCUUCAACACAAACAUGUUUGUAAAAGAAAUAUGCUAAGAAGCUAUACAAAAUACCUUUAGGUAUAAAAAAUAUAUUCUCACAUACAUUCACCUACUGUGUCCUUCCCCCUUGUAGACUGUAAACCCACAUAAGCUGAGUCCUCUCUCCAGUACCUCUUUAUUUCUCUGCCACUUAUUUAGUUAAUGUAUAUUAUUCAUUUUUUCUUGUCUUAUUUACUUAAUCUCCUUUUAUCGGUAUGAUGCCCUGAAAUGAAUGAUGUUUAAAAAUAAAUAAAUAAUAAAUAAAAAUGAAAUAAUAAUAACACUGAUAAUAAUACAUUCUCCAUUGUAUAUGCACU